GGUUUUAUAUUCAAUAUAUGAUAUUAGAUUGCAAUUCUAAAGUAAGAUUUUUAUCUUAAAGCCU
rnacentral:tRNA from 1 species